UCUUCUGUAGCUCACGCCAGACGGCGCGCUGUACGUUUCUCUUCGGAUAUUAAAAGAACAAGGAUAGACAAAUACUCAAGCACAAGCGUGUUCUCUAGAGAACAACUCGAAGACUACAGCUAGAGUCGUUGCUGUUUGUGAAAUCUGCAUGUCUACGGCAGCGAUUAAACGCGGCCGCGGGGACGUUGACGUCGACAGGCUUCGAUUUCAUGCAGCCAUGAUCGACGUCGUACGAUCUAGCGUUGUGCGCUCGUGUCACAACGGAGACUGAAUGCGAACGUACUGGAUGGAUGCGAACGUACUCAGUGCUGUUUGCUGUUUUUUGACGUCUAAAGCGACCGCAGACAGUCCGGAGUGAGCGAUAUCUGGAAGGGCUUGGAGUUGCAUGACGUCAUCGAAACAAGAUGAGUCGUCUUUCUGUGUUUGGGUAAUCAUUUCAUGUGUUUUGUGCUUUGAUUUGGUGAACACAUACAGUAGCAACCAGGAAGAGACCACGUUGACAGAAAUCCUGGACGUCCCAAGAUGCGUAACUUCCAGAGUAUGUGGAGCUUCAGGGAGACUACUUCCAUCCAACUGUUUUCUCUUGCUCAACAAGGUGAUAGCAUCUGGUGGUUUCAUCAAACACAAAAGCACGUCGACAUGUCAGACAGUUAUGUUUUAUUGCAUGAUUUAUGAUAUGCACGCAGCGCUACAUGAUCUAGAAUUCUAGACAGUUAUUACAACAUGCAGUUAUUUAUUUCACUGGAA